GAUGAACGCUGGCGGCGUGCCUAAUACAUGCAAGUCGAGCGGACGGACGCGGAGCUUGCUUCUCGGAUGUUAGCGGAGGACGGGUGAGUAACGCGUGGAUAACCCACCUAUCAGACUGGGAUAACUACGAGAAACCGUAGCUAAUACCGGAUAAUCUCUUGAACCGCAUGGGUCAAAAGUGAAAGACGGUCUUGCUGUCACUUCUAGAUGGAUCUGCGCUGCAUUAGCUAGUUGGUAAGGUCAAGGCUUACCAAGGCAACGAUGCAUAGCCGACAUGAGAGGGUGAUCGGCCACACUGGAACGGAGACACGGUCCAGACGCCUACGGGAGGCAGCAGUAGGGAAUCUUCCGCAAUGGGCGAGAGCCUGACGGAGCAACGCCGCGUGAGUGAUGAAGGUCUUCCGAGCGUGAUACUCUGUUACGAGGGAAGAACAUAUGUGUAAUUAACUGUGCACAUCUUGACGGUACCGAAUAAGAAAGCCCCGGCUAACUACGUG
rnacentral:rRNA from 1 species